UCACAUGUGAGAAUGCCUCGUAACAAUGUAUCAGAACAUAAGAAGAGGAGUGCGCCCAACGGCUAUAAGCUGCCAUUUCGCAUUCGCGAGGGUGAAAUUUUCACUGACCUCAGAAGUAAGCAGUGGCGACUAGGAAAGUCUAUUGGCUAUGGAGGAUUUGGAGAAAUUUACCUAGCCUCUGAUGAAAUCACAAAACCAGUUCCGUCGGAUGCGAAAUAUGUCAUCAAAGUGGAGCCACAUUCUAAUGGACCGCUACUGAUAGAGAGGAUAUUCUACAUGAGAGUAGCCAAGCUUGAGAACAUUGACUCGUGGGUGGCGAAGAAUGACAUGAGCGCUCUUGGCAUGCCCUAUUUCGUCGGAGCCGGAUCACACAUGUACAGAGGGGAACACUACAGGUUUCUCAUAAUUCCUAGGUUCGGACUCGAUCUUCACAAAGUGUUCGUCGAGAAGGGGAAGAAAUUUCAUAUUAAGACUGCAUUAACAAUUGCUUCGUAUGUUAUUGAUAUUUUGGAGUAUCUGCAUAGUCAUAACUACGUGCAUGCGGAUAUAAAGCCAGACAACCUGUUGCUUGGCCUGGCGGCACAAGCGCCCGUCUACCUGGUUGACUUUGGCCUGGCUUGUCGUUACCGCUACCCGAAUGGCCGGCACAAGGAGUUCUGCGUCGACGAGCGCAAGGCGCACUAUGGAACUAUACAGUACACUUCCAGAGACGCUCAUAUAGGUGCAAUAUCGAGGAGAGGAGAUCUAGAAAUUUUAGGAUACAACGUGAUUUAUUUGUUGACUGGACAUCUACCAUGGGAGGAUGAUGUGAAUGAUGAGGAGCUUGUUGCCGAAAAGAAGAAAUACGCUAUGAAUAACAUCAAUGAGUUCCUCGCAUCCUGCUUCAUGCCUGAAUCACCUCCAGAUGUUCUCGUCGAUUAUCUGGAUUAUGUAAAUAAACUGAACUUUGACAGUCGACCAAACUUCAAGUAUUGUAAACGAUUAUUUAGGAAAGGCAUUCAAGACGCUGGAUACUGUGAUGAUGGCAAGUUGACUUUCGAAGCACAUGCCAAACUGAAAGCAAAGAAGAGGAAAAGUAACUCUGAAAGUGAAAAUAUGGGUGUAAAAAAAGUGAAGAAGUCGUUAACGUUUGGCUUAGAGUUUGAAGUGCCAAACAGAAAACCUUGUACAGCUCAAAACUUCAACAGAAUGACUCGGAAAUCGUCUACGAGUCAGUCGAAUGUGAAGCCUCUGGAGGACUUUGACUGGGCAAUGGUUCUGGCUGGUAAUCCUGAAAAAUGUGCCAGGAAAAACUCGCAAAGUAAUAAAAGCAAUCAAUCAUACAGAUGUGAUAAUGACUGCAGUUUGAAUUACUCAGAUAACUAUACAGUUGACCCUGUGGAUGAUUCGAUGAAUAACCCGACACCGGCAAUGCUGGAGGUGAUUGCAAGGCGCAAGCAGCGAGCGCAGACCAUCACUGCACACAGACGAUCCAAGAGUGAGAGAUCGAUUUGGCUUGGCGUUAAGCAAGAAGGUAAGCAAACCAUUUUUCUGGAAAAUGCAGUUGCUUUUGCUGUCAUCCAGGUAAAGACGGAAUGCUUAAUUUACUUCAAUAGAAAUAUUCGUGAACUAAUGAGUGAACACAAGGUUAAUCUUUGCUUGACUAAGUGGUAUUUUGAAACAUCAACUAAUUAAUGAAUUCUAUUUAGUUUUCACAGGUAUUGUCUACUUUCGAGGACUUUCCAGUCUGUGAGUAAACGACUACAGAAACUUUUCUGAAAUGUGUUUGCAGUAUUUGGUAUUGUUCUAAACUUUCAUUCACAUGUUUUCAAAGUUGUUAGAAUAGUGUUUCAAGAAGUGUUUACUUGAUAUAUUUUUGUCUGAACUAUUUCAUUUUUGUUGACUCAAUUUUCAAUGUGAUAUUUUUGUGGUUGGGAAUUUAGUCGCUGCAGUAGUCCGACAGAGUUGAUGUCGAGUGGUUUGACUCCUGCCAUGGAAGCGGUGAUCAGGAGGAGGCAGGCGCUGGCAGCAGCUGCGGCGGCUGCAAACGAGGAAGCGAAAACGACUGCAGCCGCGAAAGUCAGGAAAACUCGAUCCAGUUCACGCAAAUGUCCGGCUAUAAAAGAGCUGAAGAUGCAGUUCAAAGCGAUGGUGCUGCAGCCGUGUGCAGUCUCGAAACGGGCGUCGACGUCUCCGCCGAAGCGGGUCACUCGUUUGAACUGCGCCAACGCUUAACCGCCUCAUUCAGUCUGUGGUUUAUUAGGUUGUGAAUUCAUAGUGAGUAAUUCUUCGACUACAAUAGAAUACAAUUAUUAUGGACUUUAUUAUUAUCUGCUAUUCUUGAUAUGAUAUUGGACAAAUAGGAGGAUAAUUAGUUGAUUACUAUGAUAUAGAUACAUUUUUGACAUUUUGCUUUAUACACCUUGUGAAAAGUGAGAAGUUUCUCACGAUAUGGAAAACUUACUUAGUCUGAGCACAAUUACUAACUGCUUCCAAUAUUUCUUUGAUCAUUUUUGUGGUGUUGUUUAUUGUAACUUAUGAGUUAAGAACUAUUUGACUUAGCCGCCUCUAUAGUACUUGAAUUUUUUAAAGCCUUAUUAAGUUUAAAACUCAUAUAAGUAAUAUAUAAGAGUUUCGUUUUACUUAUAUUAUGUGAAAACAUUUUCACUGAAGGGUGUAUGUAUUAUUUGGGACACGAAGCAUAUUUUUCCAAAAGAUAUUCGAGUGAAUUUUGAUGUAAACCUUAUUAUUACUUUUCUAUCGAUUUUUGUGAUCAGUGGCGUUCAAAAACGUCUUUCAUUUUUCUUGAGUGAAUUGUAUUUAAACAUUUCAAAAUUAUCACUCCUCUUAGCAUUUUAGAUGCGAAUUAAUUAAUGUACAGGUGGCCGUGGCAAAUGGACAGUUUUGCCUUUGCCUUUUUCCAUAUAGAAUCUAUUUAAAAAUAGUAAUCAUGAAGCUUAAAAAAUGACCUAAACAGUGAAUCGUGUACGAAAAAUGGCAAGAAAUUAUUUUCCUUGAGAUUCUAACAAAUUUAUCUAAAUAUAAAUAAUUUUAUGUGUAUAUUCAAAACAACUAAAUAUUUAAAACAAAUCAAUACUUAGGAAUCUAUAUUUAAUACAAAAUGAAUUUUGUCAGAAGAUCGUUGGAAAUAAGAGACAAAUUUUGACAUGGUUGAGGGAAAUUAUAGUGAAUCUUCUUUAACCCAACAGUGCACAAUAAAAAUGAUCACUUGAAAGAUGUGAUUUUUCGUACAUGACAGUUAUAAUGCAUUUUUCAAGCUUCAAUACAAAUUAUACUUGAAAAGUUGUAAAUUUUUUUUAUAUUUUCGUUUAUUAUCACCCAACCCUUACUAAUAUUCUCCGUUAAGAAUACAUUUUUGAUAUUCAUUUGCUUCAGAUUAGCUGUUCAUCUCAAUACAUUUAGAUAAAAAUAUAGAUUAGAUGCCAAAGUUUUCAUUCUUUGUUCAACUUGGCAUUAAUAAAUGAAUGAGUUACAAACUUGGAAAACGUAUUGAACAUCCUUUGUAUUUUUUGUCCAGAUUUCAAUUGAGAUUUGCAGGCAUUUUUUAGUAUAUUAUAGUUCCCUGUUAUGUACUUAUUAGAAAGUUUAUAGUUAUGUUGAAACUGAUAAUUUAAUUCAAAAUCAAAUAGUAGACAACAGUUGGAUCUGAUGUAUAAUUUUCUUGACAAUUGGUUUUUUUCUGUUCAUUUGUUCAGCUGCGUUAAAUUUGAGAAAUAUGCUACGAACAAUGCUAGUCAAGUUGUAUAUUUCUAGCUAGCAACUAUUUAAAAACCUUGUUCCAUUCAGUAUGUAGAUAGAAAAAUUACCAUUAAUAAAACAUUCGUAUAAGUUCAUUCGUCAACAUCGUAUUAGAUGAAUCGUAGAUUAUAAUCUAAUGAAUUUAUCUAUAAACUCUGUGAAAGCAAUAUUAUUUUCAAUUUGAGAAAAUAAUAUUCUUACAGAUACUACAUAAUAAGAUAGCUUCAU
rnacentral:misc_RNA from 1 species